rnacentral:rRNA from 1 species
AGAACGAACGCUGGCGGCAGGCUUAACACAUGCAAGUCGAACGCCCCGCAAGGGGAGUGGCAGACGGGUGAGUAACGCGUGGGAACGUGCCCUUCGCUUCGGGAUAGCCUCGGGAAACUGGGAGUAAUACCGAAUACGCCGUAUUGGGAAAGAUUUAUCGGCGAAGGAUCGGCCCGCGUUGGAUUAGCUAGUUGGCGGUGUAAUUGACCACCAAGGCGACGAUCCAUAGCUGGUCUGAGAGGAUGAUCAGCCACACUGGGACUGAGACACGGCCCAGACUCCUACGGGAGGCAGCAGUGGGGAAUCUUGGACAAUGGGCGCAAGCCUGAUCCAGCCAUGCCGCGUGAGUGAAGAAGGCCUUAGGGUUGUAAAACUCUUUCGCCGGUGAAGAUAAUGACGGUAACCGGAGAAGAAGCCCCGGCUAACUUCGUGCCAGCAGCCGC